GUGCGGGCUCAGCCGUGUGGUUACUUCGUUUAAACUGAAUCUUACUGCUAGACUCUUCCUAACCCUGAAACCACUGGUGCCAACCCGUACACUC
rfam:Octopus bimaculoides Scaffold50649_contig_7, whole genome shotgun sequence.